GAAUUUUCCACAAUGGACGAAAGUCUGAUGGAGCAACGCCGCGUGCAGGAUGACGGCCUUCGGGUUGUAAACUGCUUUUAUGGGUGAAGAAUUUGACGGUAACCCAAGAAUAAGGGACGGCUAACUACGUGCCAGCAGCCGCGGUCAUACGUAGGUCCCAAGCGUUAGCCGGAAUUACUGGGCGUAAAGAGUUGCGUAGGCGGUUUUGUAAGCAGAGUGUGAAAGCGUAUUGCUCAACCAUAUAUACAUACUUUGAACUGGAGAACUAGAGGGCGAGAGAGGGAAUUAGAAUUUCGUGUGUAGGAGUGAAAUCCGUAGAUAUACGAAGGAAUACCGAUGGCGUAGGCAGAUUACUGGCUCGCACCUGACGCUAAGGCACGAAAGCAUGGGUAGCAAACAGG
rnacentral:rRNA from 1 species